rnacentral:tRNA from 1 species
AUCUAAAUAGUUUAUAAAAAAUAUUAAUUUGUGGAAUUAAAGAAAUAUACUAUUAUUUUAGAUA